UACGUAGGCAGCGAGCGUUGUUCGGAGUUACUGGGCGUAAAGGGUGUGUAGGCGGUUGUUUAAGUUUGGUGUGAAAUCUCCCGGCUCAACUGGGAGGGUGCGCCGAAUACUGAAUGACUCGAGUGUGGGAGAGGUGAGUGGAAUUCCUGGUGUAGCGGUGAAAUGCGUAGAUAUCAGGAGGAACGCCGAUGGCGAAGGCAGCUCUCUGGCCUGUAACUGACGCUGAGGUGCGAAAGCGUGGGGAGCGAACAGG
rnacentral:rRNA from 1 species